UGGCAGCCAGGAAGAGCACAGACGAGGAAGCAGAUGCAAAACAAACCCAAAACCCCAAACCCCUCAUCUUUGUGUUCCCUGCAGCUCUGAGCCAGCUGUGUGAUAAGCCAUUCUCUUCAAUUCUUAAGUUUGCCAGUGCUGUUGUUGAGACUGUUUCCUUUUGUAGCUGCUGUCAGCAUCCCUGUUCCAGCUGGAACUGGCCCCUGCACCAUCCAUGGCUCCAGCCGCAUGUUCCAGAACUGUUGCUGCAAGCAGACAGGAAGCUGAGACGGAUGCCUGUAAGAGACGCAGUGUGCAAAGGACUGAAUAAAUACUUGCUUGUGUGCGAGUGAACACCUCAUCUGU
rnacentral:lncRNA from 1 species